rnacentral:rRNA from 1 species
UGGGGAAUUUUGGACAAUGGGCGAAAGCCUGAUCCAGCAAUGCCGCGUGUGUGAAGAAGGCCUUCGGGUUGUAAAGCACUUUUGUCCGGAAAGAAAUCCUUGGCUCUAAUACAGUCGGGGGAUGACGGUACCGGAAGAAUAAGCACCGGCUAACUACGUGCCAGCAGCCGCGGUAAUACGUAGGGUGCAAGCGUUAAUCGGAAUUACUGGGCGUAAAGCGUGCGCAGGCGGUUUGCUAAGACCGAUGUGAAAUCCCCGGGCUCAACCUGGGAACUGCAUUGGUGACUGGCAGGCUAGAGUAUGGCAGAGGGGGGUAGAAUUCCACGUGUAGCAGUGAAAUGCGUAGAGAUGUGGAGGAAUACCGAUGGCGAAGGCAGCCCCCUGGGCCAAUACUGACGCUCAUGCACGAAAGCGUGGGGAGCAAAACAGGAUUAGAUACCCUGGUAGUCCACGCCCUAAAACGAUGUCAACUAGUUGUUGGGGAUUCAUUUCCUUAGUAACGUAGCUAACGCGUGAAGUUGACCGCCUGGGGAGUACGGUCGCAAAGAUUAAAAACUUAAAUGAAUUG